GAUGAACGCUGGCGGCGUGCCUAAUACAUGCAAGUCGAGCGAACGGGCGAGAAGCUUGCUUCUCUGAUGUUAGCGGCGGACGGGUGAGUAACACGUGGAUAACCUACCUAUAAGACUGGGACAACUUCGGGAAACCGGAGCUAAUACCGGAUAAUAUUUUGAACCGCAUGGUUCAAAAGUGAAAGACGGUCUUGCUGUCACUUAUAGAUGGAUCCGCGCUGCAUUAGCUAGUUGGUAAGGUAACGGCUUACCAAGGCAACGAUGCAUAGCCGACCUGAGAGGGUGAUCGGCCACACUGGAACUGAGACACGGUCCAGACUCCUACGGGAGGCAGCAGUAGGGAAUCUUCCGCAAUGGGCGAAAGCCUGACGGAGCAACGCCGCGUGAGUGAUGAAGGUCUUCGGAUCGUAAAACUCUGUUAUUAGGGAAGAACAUAUGUGUAAGUAACUGUGCACAUCUUGACGGUACCUAAUCAGAAAGCCACGGCUAACUACGUG
rnacentral:rRNA from 1 species